rnacentral:rRNA from 1 species
AACGAACGCUGGCGGCAUGCCUAACACAUGCAAGUCGAACGAGACCUUCGGGUCUAGUUGCGCACGGGUGCGUAACGCGUGGGAACCUGCCCUUAGGUUCGGAAUAACUCCCCGACAGGGGUGCUAAUGCCGGAUAAUGUCUUCUGAUCAAAGAUUUAUCGACCUUGGGUGGGCCCGCGUUGGUUUGGCUAGUUGGUAGGGUAAAAGCCUACCAAGGCGACGAUCCUUAGCUGGUCUGAGAGGAUGGUCAGCCACACUGAGACUGAGACACGGCCCGGACUCCUACGGGAGGCAGCAGUGGCGAAUACUGGACAACGGGCGAAAGCAUGAUCCAGCAAUGCCGCGUGAGUGAUGAAGGCCUUAGGGUUGUAAAGCUCUUUUACCCGGGAUGAUAAUGACAGUACCGGGAGAAUAAGCUCCGGCUAACUCCGUG